rnacentral:rRNA from 1 species
CUACGGGUCGCUGCAGUGGGGAAUAUUGCACAAUGGGCGCAAGCCUGAUGCAGCAACGCCGCGUGAGGGAUGAAGGCCUUCGGGUUGUAAACCUCUUUUAGCAGGGAAGAAGCGAAGGUGACGGUACCUGCAGAAAAAGCACCGGCUAACUACGUGCCAGCAGCCGCGGUAAUACGUAGGGUGCAAGCGUUGUCCGGGAUUAUUGGGCGUAAAGAGCUCGUAGGCGGUUUGUCACGUCUGCUGUGAAAAUCCAAGGCUCAACCUUGGACUUGCAGUGGGUACGGGCAGGCUAGAGUGCGGUAGGGGAGAUGGGAAUUCCUGGUGUAGCGGUGGAAUGCGCAGAUAUCAGGAGGAACACCAAUGGCGAAGGCACAUCUCUGGGCCGUAACUGACGCUGAGGAGCGAAAGCGUGGGGAGCGAACAGGAUUAGAUACCCCUGUAGUC